rnacentral:rRNA from 1 species
AUACGUAGGGUGCGAGCGUUGUCCGGAAUUACUGGGCGUAAAGAGUUCGUAGGCGGUUUGUCGCGUCGUGUGUGAAAUCCCGCAGCUCAACUGCGGGCUUGCAGGCGAUACGGGCAGACUUGAGUACUGCAGGGGAGACUGGAAUUCCUGGUGUAGCGGUGAAAUGCGCAGAUAUCAGGAGGAACACCGGUGGCGAAGGCGGGUCUCUGGGCAGUAACUGACGCUGAGGAACGAAAGCGUGGGUAGCGAACAGGAUUAGAUACCCUGGUAGUCCACGCCGUAAACGGUGGGCGCUAGGUGUGGGUUUCCUUCCACGGGAUCCGUGCCGUAGCUAACGCAUUAAGCGCCCCGCCUGGGGAGUACGGCCGCAAGGCUAAA